UACAGAGGGGGCAGGCGUUAUUCGGAAUUAUUGGGCGUAAAGGGCGCGUAGGCGGCUUGGCAAGUGGAUGGUGAAAUCCCUCGGCUUAACCGAGGAACUGCCGUCCAAACUGCUUAGCUUGAGACCGGGAGAGGUGAGUGGAAUUCCCAGUGUAGCGGUGAAAUGCGUAGAUAUUGGGAGGAACACCAGUGGCGAAGGCGGCUCACUGGACCGGUACUGACGCUGAGGCGCGAAAGCGUGGGGAGCGAACGAGG
rnacentral:rRNA from 1 species